rnacentral:rRNA from 1 species
UGCGUAGGCGGUUCGGUAAGUUUGGUGUGAAAUCUCCCGGCUUAACUGGGAGGGUGCGCCGAAAACUGCCGGGCUAGAGUGUGGGAGAGGAAAGCGGAAUUCCUGGUGUAGCGGUGAAAUGCGUAGAUAUCAGGAGGAACACCUGCGGUGUAGACGGCUUUCUGGACCACUACUGACGCUGAGGCACGAAAGCGUGGGGAGCAAACAGGAUUAGAUACCCUGGUAGUCCACGCCCUAAACGAUGCAGACUUGGUGUUAGCCCUUCAUUGGGUUAGUGCCGCAGCUAACGCGGUAAGUCUGCCGCCUGGGGAGUACCGGUCGCGAAGGCUGAA